GGACCAAGGAGUCUAGCAUGUGCGCGAGUCAUUGGGAUACUUGACUAAACCUAAAGGCGCAAUGAAAGUGAAGGUCCGCCGUGCGCGGACCGAGGGAAGAUGGGCGGUCCCGAGGGACCGCCUCGCAUUCCCGGGGCGUCUCGUUCUCAUCGCGAGAAGAGGCGCACCCAGAGCGUACACGCUGGGACCCGAAAGAUGGUGAACUAUGCCUGGUCAGGACGAAGUCAGGGGAAACCCUGAUGGAGGUCCGUAGCGAUUCUGACGUGCAAAUCGAUCGUCGGAACUGGGUAUAGGGGCGAAAGACUAAUCGAACCAUCUAGUAGCUGGUUCCCUCCGAAGUUUCCCUCAGGAUAGCUGGCGCUCGCUUCUCGCGAGUCUCAUUCGGUAAAGCGAAUGAUUAGAGGCAUUGGGGUCGAAACGGCCUCAACCUAUUCUCAAACUUUAAAUGGGUGAGAUCUCCGGCUUGCUUGAACUGUGAAGCCGCGAGAUAUCGGAUCAGAGUGCCAAGUGGGCCACUUUUGGUAAGCAGAACUGGCGCUGUGGGAUGAACCAAACGCUGAGUUAAAGCGCCUAAAUCGACGCUUAUGGGAUACCAUGAAAGGCGUUGGUAACUUAAGACAGCAGGACGGUGGCCAUGGAAGUCGG
rnacentral:rRNA from 1 species